AAAUUGAGAUGUCUCUAGUGGGUUGUGAUGUGGCCUUAUUCAAUUAAGAUGUCUCUUGUGGGGGAACAAUUAGUUAGGUACACCAUUUGCUAUUGUAAGGUGACAACAUUCUGUCUGCUUACAAUAAACGUCCUGUUCCCGCAGUUUCUGUAGUAUUAAACAAAGAACCAAAAGAAUGACAUACAG